CGGUUCUGCCACGGGAGUCCGGUGCAACCGGGCUGAGAGGAGGGCGAACCAGCCCUCGACCGUAUGAACCUGAUCCGGGUCAUGCCGGCGCAGGGACGGGAGGAACGCACAGUG
rnacentral:ncRNA from 1 species